AAGCAAACCAGCAAACCUGCAGAAAACCCAAAUGCUCCACAAGGAGAACAUGCUCAACUCCACACAGACAGCAAGCAGAGAACUGACCCAGACACCCUGGAGCUGUGAGCCUGCUAAUAUAUCAACACGGAGAGCAUGGCGUGAGCUGUUAGGAGGAAGAGGAUGGAUGAGUGAGGCAAGGACAAGCGUCUGAAGUACAGUAUAAGGCCAUGCUGAAUGAGGCUGACCUACCUCAGCCUCCAUCAGUUUAAAGUUCACCUACUGUAUGUUUGCCUGUCUCAACGGGCUAUGCGUGAAGAUGUUACAUGGCUGCUAACUCCUGCUUUGAUUAAUUGGCACGUGUGCUGAGGAAGAACCAUUCCUCACUCGCAUUAAACCCAUUCACUGGCCACUGACACUCUGCCAGAGCUCUGCUUUCCAUUUAACACUGGCAAGCUUAUGUGCAUUAUAAUUAUAGUAUUAUACAGCAUAAGCUUGAUAAAUGCAAGCUUGUUUUUAUUUAAAUCUCAUUAUUCAUUUUUGGAGCAAACAUUAAUGGUUGUCUCACCUUGCUAUGAUUUAACAUCUCACCUCGCUACGAAUUUCAACAGCUCUAAAACAAAGUGAUGUUGUUGAAAUAUGAUUGUGCCUGUUUUUUGUUUUUUUUUAAACCAUGGCGUAAGAACUGAAGGCAGCUGCUAUGUGUUAUGUGUAUUUUAUCGCUAGUCUCUCACCUUCCUCAUGUUGGCAUCCUGACUGAGAACACGCUCUUUACUGCUACAGCCAGUAAAGAAGUGUGUUCAUAAUACUGUGUUUCUGUGCAUAAUGACAUGAAUAAUAUGUUGUUCUGUUAUUUUGCCAUCAAUCCAUAUAUCCUUCAUGUCCUUCUUCAGCUCUAGAUCAGAGGCUUUUACCUCUAAAUAUCCACUUGCCUUAGCAACUGCUACAGGUCUCAAAGUCAUUGUCUGUGUCUGUGAUCACAGAGAUCGGUUAAUCAUUAGCUAUACCAUUGCACCUCGGCAUGCCAACGUCAGCGCUGCCACGAUCACAUUUCAACCACACACUCUUAAUUGCAUGCUUUUUCAUAUCAUGGUUAGACAUUGUGCAAGUCUCACCACAGUUUGGUUAGUGUAAGACUAAAUUCAUCACGUUGAUACCAGAAGCACCUCACCUGAAGCAAAGGUUCAAGUCACACAUAAGGAGGAGGAAGGAAUGGUUUUAACUUUUGUUGUAUUGGCAGUUGGCAGGAUUCUUCUUCAGGGCUCUUAUUGUUAGUCUUGAGCUUCAGUAUCCUGUGUAGUGCCUUCAUUGCCAGAGCUUGUAUUAUGAGGUAAGUACAAUGCUGUGUGGAUUAGCUCUCAAGUCUAUUUGGCAUUGUUUAACCUGUUAGAUGCAGGUCCAAUCUCAAUUUCAAAUACUACCCUGGCUACCAUAAUGACACAGUGAUGCAGCAUGUAGCGUUGCCUCCACAGAGCUCUAGGGUCCUAGGUUAUUUGUUCUCCUUGUGGGAUUUCUCCAGGUUCUCUGGUUUCCUCCCAUAUCCCAGAAACAUGUAGGUACAUUAUAUAGCCAAAAGUAUAUGGACACCUAACCGUUAUACCCAUACGUGCUUGUUGAACAUCCUGUUCCAAGUUGGUUCCCCCUUUACUGCCAUAACAGUCUCCACUCUUUUACAAAGGCUUUCCGCUAUAUUUCGGAAUGUGGCUAUGUGAAUUUCCAAUUCUGCUACAUGAGCAUUAGUGAGGAUGUUGGAUGCGAAGGCCUGGUGUUCCAGUUCAUCUUUAAGUGGGGUUGAGGUCAGGGCUCUGUGCAGGCCACUCGAGUUCUUCCACUCCAAGCUUGGCAGGCCAUGUCUUCAUGGAGCUCUCUUUGUGCAAAGGCGCAUUGUCAUGCUGGAACGAGUUUGGGUCCCUUUAUUCCAGUGAAAGGAAUUCUUAAUUCUACAGUAUACAAAGAUAUUCUAGACAAUUGCAUGCUUCCAACACUGUGGUUUAGGGAAGAGUUUAGGGAACAGUUUAGGGAAGAACCACACAUUGGUCUAAUGGUCAGGUGUUCACAUACUUUUGGCCAUAAUGUGUAGGUGGAUUGACUACGCUAAAGUGAAAAUGUUUCCAUGUAACAGCAGGAAAAUCCAUGGGGGAAAAUCAUAUUCCACUCAGCUGUUUUGCCAUUUUCAGUGGCUGUUACAGCUAAAGCUGUACAUAAAAAAAAAGAUAAUAUAACUUGCACAACACAACGGAAGGGAGAUAAACAUGCAUAAAGAUCGUACAAAGUGAUACUAAUUAUUACACAUCUUUUGCAUUUGUAAAUUAUCCCACUUUAUUUUUUAUUUUUUUUAAAUGACAUGGGUAAAUAAAUUUGAGCUGGCCACAAAACCUAUCCAGCCAUGAUAAUGGUUUACCAAACUUUCCAUGCUAACUGAAAGCAGAUUUGUGCACAUUUAAUUGUUGCUGGUAGCUGUUCUUAUUUAGUCCUGAUAAUGUACACACAUGCUCACACACUCACACUUGGAACAUCCCUUGGCCAUUGUUUGUAGCGUGACUGUGUACACAUGGGCUACAGAAUCCCAGGGACAGAAGAAAGCAUAGGCUUACACAAUCUUUUCAUGUCAUUAGUUAUUUCUCCUGUUCUUUAAAACACCGGGGAAUAAUUGAGUACCUGCACCCAGGAGGAAAAGCAUGCAGAGACCUAUAAAUAUAACCUCCACAACCACACACACACACACACACACACACACACACACAGACUACAUCCUCACUUACUCAGUCAGUCUCUUUUGAUUCUUGAAUAUUCCAUUGUUGGCAUAACAAGAAAUAUGAUGCGUCUAAGAAACAUGACCUUGAUGUUAAGAUUAGUGCUUAGCAUGGGGUUUAACAUGAAGCCCUGAAUCUAUGCACGAGCUUGUAUAAUCACUGUGUUUCCAUACUGUUUUCAUAACAUACCAACACACACCCUGUGGCUGAACGAACGAUAUUCAUAAUACUGUCACUUCUUAUCUAAAGGAAAGCUCUGUGUCAUGACUGCAUAGUCCUUAAGACUAAGUUUGUUUAAAGCAGUAACAUUUCAGGCCAAGUGGUAUAAUUUUGUAAUUUCUAACUUAAAAAGCUCCUCAGCAAAAUACCUUCUUGUAGCUUUUGUUGUCAUCAUAUUUGUCCAUGGAUAAAGCGUUUAUUUUGUGUCUCCUGUUCUCCGUAAUUGUGUUAUAUAUCUUUUGUUACCUAAGUGCUGGAUACUAGCAGUAGUUUGCAGGUUUGUCCUGGAGAGCCGUGCUGCUGACUGUGCGUAAUUUAGGUCAGGAGUCUAGGCGAAUGCUGUGCGGUCUUGUUAAACAUUAUUUGGCCUGGACCCAGAGGAGUGUUGGCUACCUCUGAAGAUGAAGAUAGCAUUUCCUUGUCCCUAAAAGCAAACUCAUUUGAUCAGCUGACUUCGGUUCUACUGUGAAUAGCAUAGAGUAGCGCUGAUGUGUUAAACGUUAAACAUCUGCGUGAAAUUUAAGCAAAGAAGACAUGUUAGUGUUUGACGAUUUACAGCAACGUUAAUGAUUUUGCCAUGGGACAAGAAUAAGAGGCCGAAGAACUCUGUGCUUUUAGCCACGGUGACUGCUCGAAUAGCUGUGUUUACUGUGCGUUCCGCUCACUUUCGCAACACGGCCGUGCAUCACCACCAUGAACACCACAAGUAUGCUUCUAGGAGCUCAGGGCACUGUCCUCAGUGACCAGUCGCAGCACAAAAAUGCAUUUAUAGCAAGACUUGUUUUUGAGGUUUUCAUGGCUGGACGAAGACUUGUGUUUAAGAUAAGCACAUAUAUAUUUUGCACAUGAGGCACAACUCCCGCCUGAGUUUAUCUUAGUUUCAGUCCGCUUCGGCUUGCAUCUUAGUGUCUUUUCCUUUUAUAAUGCCAUUAUACACAGAAAUAUUGUAUCUGGACACAAAUUUAUAAAUGCUUUUGUGUCUUUUUGGAGAGCUUUUUGGAUUUUUAUGGCAUAUUAAUUUUUUAAAUUUACAUUUUCAUUUAUAGCAUUUAGCAGAUGUCUUUAUUCAGAGCGACUUACAUACGUGCUUUGUAGUCUCCAUCAAAAACAUAUCCUCAUGCUAGGGCAAAUAGGUCAGAAUCAAACUGUACUGUAGAUUAAUUUAAAAAGCAAACAAAAACAGUACAAGUUGAGUUUUUUUAUUAUUAUUAUUAUUAGUGCUCAUUUAAGUGCUUGGUGAAGAGGUAGAUAUCGAGCCUUCGUGACACUGCUGUUCAGACAGCCAGAGACGGUCACUCCGUCUGCUCCAUCGCUUCCUUUCUCGCACUGACAUGCACGCACGCACGCGCACACACACACACACACACACACACACACACACACACACACACACACACAAAAAAAAAACAAAUAAAAUCAAAGUUUAAAUCUUCUAUAUUUUCUCCAUCUGCCUCCCAUCUUCCUUUACUUUAACCUCAACUUCCUUCUUUGUUUGUACCCAUGUGUUUUCACAGAUGUGAAAACACAUGGAUACAGACAGCCAUUUCUGUUUCACUUCUGGGCUCCUGGUUGUCUCAGUGGUGCUUUGAGGGAGUUGGUGAGAGAUCCUGGAGCUUGCACGUUCAGCUGGAGGGAUAUGUGCUGAGGGAGAGGAAGAGGUUUGGUUGGAAAUUCCUCUAGCUGUGAGGAGCUUUAGCAGCAGCAGGCAGCACUCCUGAUAAGAGCCUACCUCAGCCUCCAUCAGUUUAAAGUUCACCUACUGUAUGUUUGCCUGUCUCAAAGGGCUAUGCGUGAAGAUGUUACAUGGCUGCUAACUCCUGCUUUGAUUAAUUGGCACGUAUGCUGAGGAAGAAUCAUUCCUCACUCACAUUAAACCCAUUCACUGGCCACUGACACUCUGCCAGAGCUCUGCUUUCCAUUUAACACUGGCUAGCUUAUGUCCAUUAUAAUUAUAGUAUUAUACAGCAUAAGCUUGAUAAAUGCAAGCUUUAGCAGCAGCAGGCAGCACUCCUGAUAAGAAUCCCACACCUCUGUGGCAUUAGAUAUUUGGGCAAGUCACUAGGCAUCCUUUAGAUGUCUUAUUUUAUUUUCUGUGCUGUUGAGCGUUUCCUUGAUGAGCAGGAUUGUGACUGCUGGUUGGUGUAGUGGUGUGUCUGUGGUUCGUGUAUGGACUAGGCUUUCAAGUCAGUUUUAUAAAUCUAAUUAUCCUAUAAAACAGUAUUUUUCAUUUAAGUAUAUAUAGAUACACGAUAUGGCCAAAGGUUUGUGGAGAACCAUCACACAUAUAUGUAGGCCUUCCUCAAACUGUUGCCACAAGGUUGGUUGUAUAGGAUGUAUGUAUAUGAUGUAGCAUUACAACUUCCCUUCACUGGAUCUCAGAGGCCUAAACCUGUUCUAGCAUGACAGUGUCCCUGUGUACAAGGUGAGGUCCAUGAAGACAUGGCCUGCCAAGCUUAGAGUGGAAGAACUCGAGUGUCCUGCACAGAGCCCUGACCUCAACCCUACUGACCACCUUUGGGAUGAACUGGAAUGUCGACUAGGUCCCAGGCCUACUCACCCAACAUCACUAAAUGAUCUUAUUAAUGCUGUUAUGGCUGAAUGGACAAAUCCCAACAGCCACACUCCAAAAUCUAGUGGAAAGCCUUCUCAGAAGAGUGGAGGUUAUUUUAACAGUAAAGCAGGACUAAAUCUGGAAUGGUAUGUUCAACAAGCACAUAUGAGUGUGAUGAUCAGGUGUCCCCAAAUCUUUCCCCAAAACAAUGUAAUAUGACCUUGCAUGUUUUAACACCUUUACAGAACAGCUUUUAACUGUAACUGCAAGUUACUUGAGUCCAUCCUUAACAAAAAUAAAUCCUAUUGAAUCUAUUGAGUCGAUGGUUUUUAAAGACCAGAAAAACUGCAAAAAAACACAAACAAACAGUAGCCAGAUGAAUGAAUAAUAUAAGGUUGCUGAUGAAGCUUUUAUGUUUAAAAUUGAAGUGUUUAAUUCUGUAUCUUUAACCGUGUAUAUCUCAAGAGUACAGUAGUUGAAUGUGAGCAUUUGCAAAAUGCUUGAUCCGGAACCCCGGGUCUCGUCCUGUAAGCAGAGUGACUGAAUCAGAGCUGCUGUCAGUGCUUACAUAACCGUGUGUUCUUCUAGUCCCUGCUUUCUGCAGCUGUCUGCCUUGCUGCCAGCAGCAAGAGUGCUGCCAAACCCAGAGAGAGAUCACACACAUCCACUCUGUCCAACAUAUCAUACACCAACACCGUCCAGCAGGAGCCAACUGUCACUGCACAGCUCUCGGUACCACCAUCAGACCUGCUGCAUGUCUUAAACUUGGCCUUGGGGGAUGUUUGAUAGAACUCACUCCCCAGUUGAUUUUGGGCCCUAAAACAAACAUUCUGGAUAAGUUCUACAAAUAGACAUCUGUUCUCCAGGUACCGUCGUACUAUAAAUUUGAUUCACUUUGUUUUAAACUUUGCUGAAGUUUACUAGUUCAGUGAUGUCUCUGCAUCAUUUAAAUGUGUUAAAAGUUUAUGUGUAGUAAAUCAUCAGUGUUUUUUCUUUCUGCCUUUUUUAUCCACCCACUCUAAGAUCCCCUGUCAAUUGCUUACAGUCUUACACAUUUAAGGUGAAUAUAGUAAAUACGAUUAAUUAUAUUCCAAUUGAAUUGCUAGUUUGCAAAAAAUGUUGUCACUCUUGAAGGAACUCUGAUGUUGCCUGUAACUAUGUCCUGGUUAGUUGUGGUAUAAAUAUGAAGUUGCACACAGGUUUUUCAUUCACUAACAUGUGAAAAACCAAAUAACAUUUAAUACAAAAGAGACAGAUGUUGCUUAACCUGCACAAAUGAGGUAAUGUAUAUAAAAAAUAUCUAAUAAGUUAAAAUGCCAUUAAGCACAAUAAUGAUUAUUUUAUAUUACACAGGGUGUCCCAAAAAUAUAAUAUGGGAAAUUAACACUUUUUUGUAAAACGUCUUCCAAAAUUUUUCAUAAUUUUAAAAGUAAUCUUAAGAGUACCUUUGAGAAAAGAAGAACGUAUUGAAAUCAUUCUCAUGGCUGGAUCGGGAAGCUGUUGUAAGGUUGUGAUGGACUUUAAGAGGAAACAUGGCAAGCACAUCACACUCGACACUGUUGCCAAACUUAUUAACAAAUUCGAAAAGACUGGAAGAUUUGCGGACCGACCGAGAAGUGGAGGUCCACGAACAUCCAUUGAUGGAGGAACAGCCAACAUGGUGCUAGCAAACAUAGUCCCCUAUAUAUGGAAACUUUUGGGACACCCUGUAUAUUAUAUUCCAUAAUAGUGGGCCAUAACAGAAGGUUUCACAUAAAUGAAACGAAUGAAUUUUGCCAAGAAUUGCACCCAGUAGCACACUGUUCCUCACACAGUGAGGAGGAUGGUGAAGGAGGAAAAAAGGAUCCCAAAAUCAUCUGUUAAUAAUCACUUUCAUAAUAUGUUUUGAUGCAUUACAGAAAAAGAAAUGUUUCCUGAGAGAAAUGCAGAAAUGCAGCAACUUCACGUCAUUAGAACUAAAGUUGGCAUGGUGUGUUGUGGUCGGGGUAGACCACAGUCAAACAUUUUGGUCAUCCACACUGUCAACAUGUUUUUGACAAAAUGGGACUGCAUACUAGGAAAAUCACCUGAUACUCGCUGUAAAAUAUGGGGGAGGAUCAUUUGAUUUUUGAGACUCUUGGGACUUGGGCCUUGUUUCCUGGUUGACUCUGCCAGGAGGUUCAGACUUGGCCACAGUUUUGAGCAAAAUGAUUGAGGCAUACUUCCCAAGUCAGUGCUUAAAUGGUUAAAGAAAUUAACAACAGAUGUGUUGCAAUAAGCACCUCAGUUUCCGGAAGUGAAACUUACUGUAAACUUUUGAAGAUGGAAGUCCACAUGCUCAAACCCAAAAAUAUGAAGGAGCAUAAACAGUUCUGCAUGGAAUAAUGGACCCUGUUACAGUAUUGUUAUUCUCAUAUAUUUUGUAGUAAUUUUUACAAUUUAAGUGAACAAAAAACAGAUCAGUCACAUGGGAAAAGUAAGUACACCCCUACAUUUAUCACACCUUCAAAUCCAUAUAUUUGAAUCAGGUGUUCAAGAUUGGGUGCCAGUUAUUAGAAGAUGCUUAGAGAGUGUAGGUGGAACCGGUCUUAUUUAUACCCCUCUCAUAUCUAGUGUCUGGUGUUCCCUGGUGUUAUUGAGGUGUGUGGUGUCAUCAUGCCAAGAUCUAAAGAGUUCUGUAAGGCCGUCAGAAAAAAAAAAAGUUUGUGGAUACCCAUGAGUCUGGCAAGGGGUUUAAAAAGAUCUCCAAUUUAUUUGACAUGCAUCAUUCCACUAUAAGGAAAAUCAUCUACUAAUGGCACAGUUUUCAGAUGAAUUUCAAAUUUCAGAUUUCAAAUUUCAAAUUUGCAAUCCCAGCAAAUCCAGGCUGAGAGCAGAUCGUCUGAUGAAAAACGAAGUCUCCAAGAACCCCAAGAUUUCAUUACAGGAUCUACUAGUAAGUCUUGCAACUGUUGGUGUCAAAGGGCAUGCUUCUACAGUCAGAAAGCGGUUGCAAAAAUUUUAUCUGCAUGUGAGAUGUGCCAGGAAAAAGCCUUUGAAAGACUACAGUUUGCCAAUGAGCAUAUAGGCAAAGACCAGGCCUUUUGGAAUAAUGUGGUCUGUUCAAGUUCAAAUGGCUUUAUUGUUAUUUCAACCAUAUACAGCUGAUACAAUACACAGUGAAAAUAAACAACAUUCCUCCAGGACCAUGGUGCUACAUGAACAACACACUAAUUACAUGAGACAACACGGCACUAAAUAAGAUCUACACAUUUUUACAUAAAGUGCAUGUGCAAAUGUGUGCUAACAACACGAGACAGUACAGUACUACUAAAACAGGACAACAGGACAAAUAUAUAGUUGUUUGGCCUGAGUAACAGCAGACAUAUUUGGUGCGGACCAAAGACAGCUUUUCCGAAGAAGCACCUCAUACCAACUGUGAAGCACUAUGGUGGAAAUGUUAUGGUUUGGGGUUGCUUUACUGCCUCAGGGACUGGACAGCUUACAUUCAUUGACUCAACUAUGAAUUCUGCAUCAUAUCAAAGACUGCUUGAAGAUAAUGUGAGGCCAUCUGGCCGAAAUUUGAAGUUGGAUCUUUCAACAAGAUAAUGAUCCUAAGCACACUAGCAAAUCCACCAAGAAUGGCUCAAAAAGAAGAAAUGGAGGGUUAUGGAAUGGCCUAGUCAACGCCUGGAUUUGAAUCCCAUUGGAAUGUUGUGGGGGGAUUUGAAAUGGGCUGUACAUGCAAGAAAACCCUCAAACAUCUUGCAACUGAAAGAAUUUGCAUAUUGCAACAGCAAGCCGAUGUCAGAGAUCGGUGGACAAUUAUGCAAAACGCCUACAAGAAGUUAUUUCUGCUAAAGGGGUCAAUACUAGCGUCUGAGGCCAAGGGUGCACUUACUUUUUCCACAGAAGAAUAUCGCAUCUAUUGAUAUUUCUGUUGAAUAAAUGGUUGAAGAAGCUAUUUGUUCCUUGUGCUUUUGUUAAACUAUAGCAAAUUAAUUAAUAGGCACUGUUUCAAAGAUGAUCAAAUGUUUGCUUUUCCAAAUAUGUCAGAAAAGCCAAUAAUUUCCAUGGGAUAUACUUACUAAUUUUGAGAUUAUUAAUUGCUUAUUUUCAUGGCGGGUGCCAAUAAUUCUAUAUUUAGGCUGAAUGGGACUGUGAUUAAAAAGAAAACCGCACUGAAGCAGAAGUGCAUGAGCAGGAUGUGUUUAGUGUUACAGGCCACUCGUUCUGUCUGAGACCUUUGUUCCACACAGUCCCCCUGUCAAUGCAGUGAACAUAGAACAAUGUAGAGUUGCAGCUUCACCUAUCCUAUUAUCUCAUCACUGUCUUGUCUAGGUUUCACAAUGCCUAUAGCCAUGUUUGUGCCUGCUGCUGCCAGUUAAGGUCAUCUAAAGAGCAGAUAAGUUUAGAAGUCUUUAAUUAUGCAUUACAGAGUUGUUCUAAAGUAGAGUACAGUAGUUGUCAUCUGAACAACAUUCAGUUUUAUCAAGGUAUACAGAUGAGUACACGGGUUUGCUGUAGUAUAAAAAGAUUUUAUAUUGCAUCUCCUGGGGAUUUUUGUGUUCAUAUUGGGUUGCAUAAGAGUACCAGUAUUAAAAAGUAUUGAGGUGUAAAAUUACUGACAACAGUACACCACUACAGUUUUACACUACUGGCAUGAAUUAUUCUGCUCUUGAUAUGGGAGUACUAUAACUCUAUCUGCCUGUACAGGGAAUGUAGCCAUACACAUACACACAGAUUCCCUUCACUUUAAACCACAUCCCUUAGGCACUACACAUGGUGGACACAACAAAGAAUACAACAGCAAAAUGAAACCAAUUUACCAAUUGAUGAGAGGUGAAUGUAUAGAAAAAGGUAUUUGUCAGAAAAUAUGUGGGUUGCACCUAUAUAUGCCUAUUCGAAGGACUGAUUAUGAGUUAGAACUACUUGCCAGUUACAGUGACGGUGGAUGGAUUUAUCUACUUCAAGAAUGCAAGACUUAAAAACUGAGAUUACUAUGCGGUUAAUGUAAGUAAGAAAAGUAAAGACAACCCUAAAUACCGGGUAAGAACUUAAAGUUGGACUCUGUUCCUCAUUUCCUUGCAAGUUGCUUUUUAUGGUUUAAGCUAUGGCAUAAAAAUUUCUCUGCAUUUUUGUACUUAUUCAUCAUUUUUUUUAAAAAAUAUCUGUUUCAAGCCAUUAUUCAUUUUCAACAUGAUCGAUUAAAAUAAAUUAGCAUGAAUUUUUUCCCUCGUAUAGUGGUAUUGUUUAAAUGACAAUUUUGCACUGAAGUUAAAAGGUAUUUUAACAACACUAGUUAAUAAGCAUCCUGUAUGGCUGUGUUAUGUCUUUUUUGCUCAUGUGGGUCUCCCUGUUGUAAACACAGACAUGCUAUUUGUUCACUUAUUCCACCAGAAGCCCUAUAUUUUUAUGAAUGUCCUUGAAAAAGAGCUCUCCACUGGGUUUCACACACAGUAAAAGUGCGUGUGUGUCUGCCUGUCUGCCUGUGUGGGAGAUGUAGUCGUGUAUCGUCCACACACACAUACACACACACACACACACACACACACACACACACACACACACACACACACACACACACACACACACACACACACACACACACACACACACACACACACACAGAGUGGUAGACUUAGCAAACAGCCUGGCCCUUGUUCAGAGUGUAUGGUCCUUCCAAAUAAGGUUGGGCGAGUGGCCAGGUAUGCAGUGUUUCCUAACCAAGCAGUCCACAGUUUUCUCAAUAUUUACAGAAAAAUGGUUUACUCUUUAGCCUAACGCAGCAUUGAGGUAUGAGGAGUAUCAUGUUCUACAUGUCUGAGUAUGAUAGAAAUGCUUUGAGCUUGUCUUUGGGAUUUCCAUGACUAAUAGACUUAUUUAAAGUCAGCCGAACAUGUUUUUUUGGGGGGGGGAACCCCAUUUUCUUCUGUAUUAAAUAGUUAAUUGCUUUAUGUAACAGUUCUACAACAAAAAAUUUUAGACAAAAGCAAAAGACAGAAACAUGGCCGCCUUCUUUUUUCUUUUUUUCUUUUUUUUUUUUUUUAGCUAAUACCAUAGCUAGCUAGCAUUGGUCUGCUGCUAAAAAUUAUUUUGAUAAUCGUUAAUCUGUUGAUUUUGUUUUUCAAUUAACUGAAAUUUAGUAAAUCUUUACUAAAUGUAUUGGUAAAUAUAAUAAAUACCAAAAAUAUUUAUUUCAGUCAACAAAUACUACUACAAUACUCUUAACGUAUACCAAGCGUUUAAAUAAAUAACGGGUCAUAACACUACAAUGUUGUAUCUGUCAUAACAAUUAUCAAGCACAUGUUGAACACUUUUUUUCAAAGCGGACAUCCUAACUAACAAUCAUGGUCUUACAUACAUCUGUACUGAUUCCACACACUGUUUUUUGCAACUAUAUGUUGCUGUGAGCAACAGUCACUGGUAGAGGGCUUACCUGUAUAUCAAGCUCUAAUUUGUUCAAUUCCAACCAGCCAGAUUUUUUAUUUUUUAUUUAUUUAUUUUUUAUAAAAGGCUAUUAUCCACAGGCUAUCACACUAUCUGAAGCACUUGGAUGCUAAAUUUACUUUGAUUGUUGCAAGGUAAUUCAUUUUCGGUGUGUGGGUUUGACGCCAAAGAUUUGGGACUGACUCUUAGUGUUUAGUGCCUGGAAUCUGAGAAUUGGCUCUUUGACUCGCAGUCGCAGGACAUUCCAUUUGAACCAAC
ensembl:lncRNA